GGGUUGUGAGGUUAAGCGACUAAGCGUACACGGUGGAUGCCCUGGCAGUCAGAGGCGAUGAAGGGCGUGCUAAUCUGCGAUAAGCGCCGGUAAGGUGAUAUGAACCGUUAUAACCGGCGAUACCCGAAUGGGGAAACCCAGUGUGAUUCGUCACACUAUCAUUAACUGAAUCCAUAGGUUAAUGAGGCGAACCGGGGGAACUGAAACAUCUAAGUACCCCGAGGAAAAGAAAUCAACCGAGAUUCCCCCAGUAGCGGCGAGCGAACGGGGAGGAGCCCAGAGCCUGAAUCAGCAUGUGUGUUAGUGGAAGCGUCUGGAAAGGCGCGCGAUACAGGGUGACAGCCCCGUACACAAAAGCGCAUAUGCUGUGAGCUCGAUGAGUAGGGCGGGACACGUGGUAUCCUGUCUGAAUAUGGGGGGACCAUCCUCCAAGGCUAAAUACUCCUGACUGACCGAUAGUGAACCAGUACCGUGAGGGAAAGGCGAAAAGAACCCCGGCGAGGGGAGUGAAAAAGAACCUGAAACCGUGUACGUACAAGCAGUGGGAGCCCCACCACUAAGCCAGUGGUGAACUCCACAUACGCAUCCUUUGCUGAGGAGACGGUUAACGGAGCGAAAGCGACGUUCAACCUCAAAAGAAGCAGAGGGGGCUUAGUGGUGGGGUGACUGCGUACCUUUUGUAUAAUGGGUCAGCGACUUAUAUUCUGUA
rnacentral:rRNA from 1 species